rnacentral:lncRNA from 1 species
AUGGCCCCCGGCCCCACUCGCGCUCGGCUCCACGCGAGGUGGCAGCACCGCCUCUCCCUCGCUCGGCCCGGGUCGGCGGGUGCGUGUGUGGAGGAGGAGAGGGAAGAGGCUGGUGCCUCGCAGGAUGCGGGACUAACCUGGCGCCCUUCCCCCGCCGGCGGCGGCGCGCUCCGAGGCCUCGGCGGCUGUGAGGAAGGGAUGGUAGUUGUAGCGUUGCCACAGGUGGGUGGUCUGGGCGUACGCGAUUUGCGUAACGGAAGACCCGGCCAGGCAGGGACUUUGCGGAGAAAAGUGUGUAAGCGGGGCGCCGAUCCACGCAGUUGGAGUACGGAAGGAGGCAGCGGCGGAGAGACGGCUAAGCUGUAUGUAGCUGAUCUUCUCGGGCGCUAUGGACAAGAAUACGAAAGAGAACCAUUCUGGAUACCCCGGUCGCGCUGCGAAGAUUGCUAAUCCCAUUGGCGAUGGCCCAAAACGUGUCCCUGUGCCUCAGCAUUCUGCCCAGAGCCGGUUGCUGAACAGCGGAGUUCAAGCGCAACGUGUUCUGUGUCCUUCAAACUUUGCUCAGCGAGUUCCUGUGCAAUCACAAAAAACUGUACUGUCAAACCAAAAACUGUCUAAUAACCAGACAACACAGCAGCCCCGACCAAAAUUUCUGGUCCAAGCGACUGCUAGGCCUCAAGUUCCAAGCAAGCAUAAUGAAAAACCUCAACAGGCUCCAGUACCUGGUAAUUCUGAAGAUUAUGUACAUGUAU